AACUUCUUGCAGGGUUGGGUGAAAUUCCCUAUCGGCGGUUAAAGCCCGCGACUCUCAUGAGCAAUCAUGAGACUGAUCUGGUGUGACUCCAGGGCCGACGGUAAAGUCCGGAUGGAAGCAAGAAGCG
rnacentral:ncRNA from 2 species